CUGCUGCCUCCUAGUCCCCUCCUUUCUAUCUGGUGAGCUCGCCUGUGAGUGUUCAUUAGGUUCUACCAGCCCAUUAGGUUUUAGUCCAAAUAAAUCUAACAGCGAAGUCAUUACCGAUGUUUGGCCAUGACAAGGUCACCAUUGUGGUCAUCGAUUUCUUCGGCAGGAGGUCAGUUUGUGGUCUCUAUUUGCGAAGGGAUGAGUGCUCCUAGGCGCUCCCCAUGUGAGUAGUAGGUCUGGGUCAUUGACCUCGCCGUUGAUGGCCACAGAGUGGAAUCAGGCAUCCACCUUUAUGGUUCAAGGGGUGGAGGUGCUGUAUCUACUUCCUCUGCUGUACUCGUUGAUGCAACCACCUAUGUUCUUUCAUUACUUCAGAUGCAUUUCAGUCUGGUUCCAGAACAUUAGGUCUUGCUGCAUCAUGUCUGAUGUUUUGGGGUUUGUCGGCAGAUUUGGCACGAGGAUUGUAAUCUGCCUCGGCGUUUGCUCUGUUUGUCUGGAGCAUCGCCAACACCAACAAUGAAGGCCACUGGGGAAGAAGACUACGGAGGGAUCUAGAUGGAUUAUGGAUAUUGCAUUUUCAGGUUCCCCGUUUCCAAUUUGGGGAUGUAGUGUGCCAACUCAUUAAUCUAAUCCCCCUUCCUUGAAAAAUACGAUGAAGC
rnacentral:lncRNA from 1 species